AGGCACGCCCAGUGACGGCCUCUUUCCCUUCCCACCGCCUCUGCCCUCGCCUCACCUUGACAUGCUGCUCUGCUUCCGUCUUCUUCUCCUCCAGAUACACUGUGCAGAUGAAGUCCCCGGCUUGCUGGAAGGAAACAAGAAAGGGGCUUUUACCAGCAGGUUCCUGUUUACAGAGGGGCACCGACACUGCUUCCAAAGGGUAACAGGAAGUGGCGUGAGCGAGCUGGGACCUAACAAGCUGCCCCCUUCUACCGCCUAGGAUUCUGGGAGCGAUAGAAAAGGGGGAUUUGCUCUUGGGAGGGCGAAUGGGCAGCCCCAGCACACACAGCGCCGUGAAACCAUGUGUGUCAGAACCGGAAGCAGCCUCUACAGCCAGACUGCUAAAGCAGAGAGCGACCCUCCCAGGUUAGCUGGUGGAGGAGACUAACUGUGUCUGCCUGGCCCCUUUGGAGUUCCUGAGAUCUUAGUUUCCCAGUGGCUCUCCGAAGAGAACCGAGCGAGCGUGUGCAGGUGAGACCUGCCCCUCCUCCACCAGCGGGCGGACGGGCUGGCUACCUGGGUUCCACUGGACGAGCCGGCUAUCCGCAUCUUGAUGAUGGCUGUGAUCUCGUCCUGCUGUUUCCUCAUCUCUUGUUCGUCCACCUGCCGAGAGGAGAGAAGGCCAGAGUGAUCGAACCCUCGGCAGCCCGGCAGCAGAAAGGCCAGAUGGACAGCUUCACGUGGGGCCCAGCUCUGGGAGGACACGAGCCUCCCCCAUCAGUCCCUGCCCCCCCUACCCGUCACUGAGCUGUGCUGGUCCGGAGUCACCAACCUGCCCAGCUCCACCGGCCAAGGAAAGGCACUCAACAGGGCUUCCCGUGCUUCUCCCCACUCGCUCCGAUGUCGAGUGCCUAGCCCAUGCCAUCACGGCUUCACUGCUAUUGUUAUUCAUGAUAGCUCAGGUACGUCCGUAUGUGCUGCAUUCACACCCACUGGCAGCAGUACAGCCGGACCCUCUGUGUCGUCAGGGUCUCUCCUUGAUCUGUGAGACGCAAUCCCACCCUCCACUUGCCUCCAAGCAAACUGGAUUUCUCCAGCAUGGCUCAGACACAGCCACCUUCCCCUCAUGGAUCCCCCAAAUCCAGCCAGUCCUCUCCAAAGUCACCCUUCUCCCAAUGGCCGGGCUUUCUCUGCAGAGGGUGCUUUAUAGGAUCUGGUGGCUAGUGCACUGCUGAGAAUCGUAUGCCCGGAGCCAGGUGCUGAGUGGCGGGUGGAAAGAGAGGCUGGAGAUCAGAAAGACGACAAAGGAAAAAACUUCCUCGUGGAGGAAGCUCCCAGGGUAAAACAAUGGGCGCGAAGGGCCAUAGUAACAGUAAUCAUGCCAAGCUCUUAACAUCCGUGGAUCUCAAAGCACUUCACAAAGGAGGUUAGUCUCAUCGGUAAGACGGGGAAACUGAGGCACAGGGAGGGGAAGUAGCUUGCCCAAGGUAGCAGAGCUGGCAGUAGAAGCCAGGUCUCCUGAUUUGCUGUCUCGUGUUCUGGCCACCAGACCACACUGCUCCACAGAAGAGCUUGAAUAGAUAGAGGCCAGGUUACAACGGACAACAAUGCGAACGCUCAUUCUGGCUGGGCGAAGAAGGCAACGUUUUCUAUAGGUGCCCGGGAGCCGAGUGUACGGGCUCUAGGCCUGGAAGCCUUCGGUCCGCUGAGGGAGACGCUUUGGGGAGUGGGGCUUCUGAACGCUACGUACGCUAAAUAUGACCACGUAGCGGCUGAUGAGAUCCUCCACCACGCGCCCCGCCUUGUAGUCCUUCCCAUCCGUCUGGAAGAGCGUCGGCCCGAAGACAAUCGCCAGGUUGUGUGUGUUCAUCUGGUUCAUCUCGGAGAAGUACUGGACCCUGAGGAAAGCCAGCACAUUAAGGACAGCUCCUCCCGGAGCUCCAGCUGCCUCCCCGCCCUGCCCCAAUGGCCCUCUCAGAUCUCGCCAUGCCAGUCGGGGUUUCCGUUUCUGGGGGGACCCUCCAUGGGUUGCUGUGUGUAGUGCUCUAGGCCCAGAUCCUACAAGGUACUGAUCUCCGUGGGAGCUAGGCACCUAAACACCUUAGAAGGUCUGGGCCCAGGCUCGGCUCUCUAGUGGUGGGGACCCUCUCGGCCAGACAUACCCUGCUCCGCCUCUGACCUAGGGCAAACCCCCAGCCGUUGGUGAAUGGCUCAGGGACGCUGGUGGGUCAAAGCGGCCAGCUGCUGCUCACAGGGGUUGGGGUUUGAAUUCUGCUCUGGCUCCUGGCAGGGCUGGUGGGCACCUGGGAACAGAACUACCAAGGAGCGGGAAAGGAGUUCCUCUCUCUCCAGCUGGUCUAAGGGAACAAGCUGUGCUUCCUGACAGAUCCAGGCAGAUGUAUGAUUUUAGUUUAUUAUCCAUGUAUUGUGUCAGGUUAUGAUUAAUCAACAUCUUAUAUCAUACAGAUUCAUUGUAUGUUAAUUAGAGUUCAUUUGUAGGAUUACAGAAGUACAAGAUUGAUCAGUAUUUAGAGGAACCAUGUACUAGACGUAAGUCAGAGAAGCUGAAACGCAGAAACCUGUAGGCUGAGACCUGCAAGAUUUUAGCUCAACUAUUUUAGGCCUUGGAGACAGGAAAUGCUGACAUGAGUCAAUGACCGAGAAAUAACCCGAAAGAUGAUGUGAAAAGAGGUACCAGCUGGUAAUAUUGUGAAAGUUUAGCAGGAAGAUUAAAUUUAAAUGAUAAAAUGCUGUAACAGCAAAUAUUGUCUCCACCAUGUGUCUUCACCACAAAAUAAAGGUGGUACGGCAAUGUUAAUGAGAAUCCGCCCAGCCUAUAGGGGUCCCUUGUGGUUCUAGGGGACACAGACCAGAUAGAAAAAGAGGAUUGACACUUCCAGGUACACGCGCAGAGUGUAGGUAUAGACAGAAUCACAGGAUAAAAGAGGGUGCCCAGAGCUUAAAAAUUGAGCUUCCCAUGGGAAACCUCCAGCAGGAACCAUACCCGUAUUGAUGAUCAGUCCCUCAGGGGCCAACAGACUCUAACCCCAUCUAGGAGGAUGUGAGCAUGUCUGUCGUUACUUAUCUUUAGGAAGUGUAAACGCUGUGACAUUUAGAACUCUGUUGGUAACUUUAAUAAUAAACGGCUAAAAGAGA